UGCCAACCCCGAGGGGGGAAGACUGUGCUCUGAGGUCCUCGGGGAUGGUUGUUGCGGGCCUCGGCCUCCCUAGAUUCCUUCCCAUCUCCCCAACAGCAAUCCUCCCAGGGCCAUGGGCCAGGAACCCCUGGUGGUUCUGUAUUCUGAGGUUCUGCAGACGCAGGGUGUAGUCUCCUGCGAGUCCAUCUUGAUUUGGAAGGCUGCGGGAGGAGGUGGCCGAGACCCCUUCCCUAGACCGCGAGGCAGGACGGAGGCAGCCGUUAGGAACGGCCCCACUCCACCAGCCGGCCCCGCGGGACGGUUACUCUGUUCCUGAGGUACCCCCCGAGAUUGUCUGUGGGGUCAGAAACAGCUCUGGAGGGGUCUGCAGAAAUUACUUUCCCAAGUCUUUGGGCUGGAAGGAACGAACAGUGCCUGACCAAGGACUUUGAGCAGGAGAGAGAUGGGAGCAGAGAGGAGCCAAGACCGUCUUGGACUACCAGCCUGUCCGCCACCCCUCGGGGCCCUCCCUCCUACUCUGCCCUUGCCCGCUGAGGUCCCAAGCUGAGGAGAUGAGCCGAGCAGUAAAAAGAGAGGAGGUUUGGAAAAGCAAUGUCCUCUCAGUCUUUAAUAGGUGGCCCCCCUGGGAACCUGCUGGAAGUGGAAGUUAAUAAGCUGAAGGUGGUCACAACCAAUCUCUGCCACACUCGCACCCUACCCCACCCCAAAUCAUUCCUUUUAAUUAAUAGUGGAAGACCUUUUUAAAAAUGUAACAUGAAUUGGCUAUUUCUUGAGGCAAACAAAAGGUGGCUCUGAAGCGAUAUAUUUGUACUCGUAUAAAUUCAUUAAAAUAGAAAGCUUAUAACCAUCCAGGUUUCACUGACAGCCC
rnacentral:lncRNA from 1 species